AUUGAACGCUGGCGGCAUGCUUUACACAUGCAAGUCGAACGGCAGCGCGGGCUUCGGCCUGGCGGCGAGUGGCGAACGGGUGAGUAAUACAUCGGAACGUGCCCAGUAGUGGGGGAUAGCUCGGCGAAAGCCGGAUUAAUACCGCAUACGACCUGAGGGUGAAAGCGGGGGAUCUUCGGACCUCGCGCUAUUGGAGCGGCCGAUGGCAGAUUAGCUAGUUGGUGGGUUAAAGGCCUACCAAGGCGACGAUCUGUAGCUGGUCUGAGAGGACGACCAGCCACACUGGGAGUGAGACACGGCCCAGACUCCUACGGGAGGCAGCAGUGGGGAAUUUUGGACAAUGGGCGAAAGCCUGAUCCAGCAAUGCCGCGUGUGUGAUGAAGGCCUUCGGGUUGUAAAGCACUUUUGGCGGGAACGAAAAGGACUGUGCCAAUACCACGGUUCGAUGACGGUACCCGCAGAAUAAGCACCGGCUAACUACGUG
rnacentral:rRNA from 1 species